rnacentral:rRNA from 1 species
GGGAUUUGGCAAUGGGCGAAGCCUGUCCAGCAAUGCCGCGUGAGUGAGGAAGGCCUUAGGGUUGUAAAGCUCUUUCGGCGGGGACGAUGAUGACGGUACCCGCAGAAGAAGCCCCGGCUAACUUCGUACCAGCAGCCGCGGUAAUACGAAGGGGGCGAGCGUUGUUCGGAUUUACUGGGCGUAAAGGGCGCGCAGGCGGCCAUUUUUGUCAGGCGUGAAAGCCCCGGGCUUAACCUGGGAAUUGCGCUUGAAACGGGAUGGCUAGAGAUCGGGAGAGGAGAGUGGAAUUCCCAGUGUAGAGGUGAAAUUCGUAGAUAUUGGGAAGAACACCGGUGGCGAAGGCGGCUCUCUGGACCGACACUGACGCUGAGGCGCGAAAGCGUGGGGAGCAAACAGGAUUAGAUACCCUGGUAGUCCACGCUGUAAACGAUGUGUGCUAGACGUUGGGGAGCCUAGCUCUUCGGUGUCGCAGCUAACGCGGUAAGCACACCGCCUGGGGAGUACGGCCGCAAGGUUAAAACUCAAAAAAAUUGACGGA